rnacentral:rRNA from 1 species
AUUGAACGCUGGCGGCAUGCCUUACACAUGCAAGUCGAACGGUAACAGGUCUUCGGAUGCUGACGAGUGGCGAACGGGUGAGUAAUACAUCGGAACGUGCCUAGUAGUGGGGGAUAACUACUCGAAAGAGUGGCUAAUACCGCAUGAGAUUUACGGAUGAAAGCAGGGGAUCGCAAGACCUUGUGCAACAAGAGCGGCCGAUGGCAGAUUAGGUAGUUGGUGGGAUAAAAGCUUACCAAGCCGACGAUCUGUAGCUGGUCUGAGAGGACGAUCAGCCACACUGGGACUGAGACACGGCCCAGACUCCUACGGGAGGCAGCAGUGGGGAAUUUUGGACAAUGGGCGCAAGCCUGAUCCAGCAAUGCCGCGUGCAGGAUGAAGGCCUUCGGGUUGUAAACUGCUUUUGUACGGAACGAAAAGCCCUGGGUUAAUACCCUGGGGUCAUGACGGUACCGUAAGAAUAAGCACCGGCUAACUACGUGCCAGCCGCCGCCGUAACAC